UUUUGUAUUCAUCAAAAUCCAUUAGGGGGUCAACAAUCUCCCCCUUUUUGAUGAUGACAAAACACUGAGUAUAUGCAAAAUUUGAAAUUUAAACAUAUACACAGUAUUUGAUCGGAUGUACAAGUAUAAUGUUUUGAUUAGAACUAGAUACAACGUGCAUCACUCAAAAUAUUCAAUUUUCAGUUCUUUCCUUGUGCAUAAGAUUGAUCUUUAUAGUUCUUAAAUGAUUUUGGCAUAUGAACUGAAUUUGAAUCAAGUUAAAAUGAAAUAUUGAUGCUGAAGAUAAUUGAAAGCUAGAUUCUUUUUUGACUCCCCCUUUCUUUUCCAGAAGGGCAAUUAUCUUAAAAUCAACUUUGGAGUAUGAUUAAAAAUUUUGCAUUCCAUAUACAUAUCUACUCCCCCUUUUUGUCAUCAACAUGAAGGGGACAAAUUAUCCUUAAAGCUCAAUUUAUAGUGGAAUUCAGCAUUCAUUUUACUCAAGGAUAUUCAAGUUGUGCUCCCCCUGUCCAGGUCAUUUCUAUUAGUGUAUUCAUAUCACUCCCCCUUUGUUUUGGAAUUCAUUUCAGACUCAUCUUUUGUUUAAUAUAGUUAUCACAAGAUGUGCUCCCCCUGUUUUAUGUGCAGUGUUUCUUUGUAUCAAAUUUGAACACUCAAGGUAUGUGGUAAGAUUUUUAUGGCAUAUCACACAAUCACAUACACUAUCACAGCAACACAUACACAGAAUUGGCAAUGUACACAAAGUUUUUUCAAAAGAGAUUGUAUUCAUUCAUAUGUCAUUGUUAAACCUUUGAAGUCAGUACAUAGUCAAAAGAAGAAAUCAUUACAAGUAUUGAUUUCUAAUACAAAA
rnacentral:lncRNA from 1 species